UCAGGCCUAACACAUGCAAGUCGAGGGGUAGAAGGAGCUUGCUCCUUUGAGACAGGCGCACGGGUGCGUAACGCGUAUGCGAUCUACCUUUUACAGAGGGAUAGCCCAGAGAAAUUUGGAUUAAUACCUCAUAGUAUAUAACCUUCGCAUGUUGGUUAUAUUAAAGUUCCAACGGUAAAAGAUGAGCAUGCGUCCUAUUAGCUAGUUGGUGUGGUAACGGCACACCAAGGCAACGAUAGGUAGGGGUCCUGAGAGGGAGAUCCCCCACACUGGUGGUGAGACACGGACCAGACUCCUACGGGAGGCAGCAGUGAGGAAUAUUGGACAAUGGGCGCAAGCCUUUAAAGGGCAUGCCGCGUGCAGGAAGACGGUCCUAUGGAUUUAAGGGGCUUUUGUACGGGAAGAAACACUCCUACGUGUAGGAGCUGAC
rnacentral:rRNA from 1 species